rnacentral:lncRNA from 10 species
AACUCCAGGGCCAUUGUUUUCCUGUUCUCCCCGCUCCAAGGCCUCUCCUCUCUCCUUGGCCCAACUCUCUGACAGUGAUGCAGUUCUGAAGGCCAGACGUCCAAAAUCAGAAUGGCAUUUGCUUGAAGGAUCCAGGGGAGAAUCCCUCCUUGCUUCUUCCAGCUUCUGGUGGCUCAUGGCAAUACCUUGACUUGUAGACAUAUCCCUCCAAUCUCUACUUAUGCCUUCAUAUCACCUUCUCUUCUCUUAUGAGAACAGUUGUCAUUGGAUUUAGGACCCACCCUAAUCGAAGAUGAUCUCACAUGUAGUUUAAUUACAUCUAUAAAAUAUGCUUUUCAGUAAG